rnacentral:tRNA from 1 species
GGGGAUGUGGCUCAAGAGGUACCGCGCUCACCUAGCACGUGUGAGGCACUGGGUUCGAUUCUCAGCACCACA